GUAUUUAUGGAUGUGUGUUGGAAUGAUAAACCCUAGCAGCCAUAUGCAACAACAUCCAAGCAACAACACGGCACAACUUCCUACCACACUAACCUUUCAACUUCUCACGUCUCUCUUUUUCUUCUCCCUCUUUCUGUUUUUCCUCAUUCACUCUCUUCAUCCCUCCAGAUUUCGUUUUCCUCCAUCAUUUUCCUUUUUCCACAGAUUUUGUUUAUUCAGACUGUUUCCUCCAUAGAAGAAAUGAUAUGCUUGAAAAGAAGGGUCUCAAAUCCCCUCCAGAUUUCGUUUUCUCUAUCAUACUGCUUCUCAUCAUUAUUCAGUUCACGAAGAAUAAGACGUAGAUCUGUUUAUGGGUUGUGGUUUUGAUUUCAAGUGAAGAAGAAAUUAGAAAUCUGCUUGUGGGUUUCAAGUGAAGAAGAAGAUGGAGAUCUGCUUGUGGGUUGUGGAUUCGAUUUCAAGCCAAGAAAAAGAUCUACUGAAGUAAAAGGUUGAUUUAAACUGGAUGCGAUCGUGAACUUCGGUUUUUAUCGAUUUCAUUUGUGCUUAUUUUCUUAUUAGCUUAAAAGAAUAAAAAUUGAUUUGCAAUUAUUUGAUUUAUGAAAAGGUUCAUACUCAAAGUGUGGGUACGAUAAAGAGACAGAGGAAUGGGGACUAAGCCUUCCAAAUGUAGAAGAAACAUGAAGAAAUA